UUGGACUUGUACAGUUGACCUAGACAAUAUUUAGUAUUGAGCUCAAGUUUUCUGUGUGUAUCCCCAAAGCUCAGAUGGCUUUAAGGACACAAAGAAAUGUCUCUGGAUCAUGAGAUCUCCUCGUUUUUCCCAGCAUGGGCUAGAAUGAACAGCAUACAUCAGUGCAGAGCAACUGAGAAAUGUCAGGCAACCUGAGCUGUCAAGGAGUGAACCCAGAGCUCAACUGGUUAUUAGUCAAGAAUCCAUAAAUGGCUGCUAAGCAGGCAAAGAGUGGCAAGGAGAGUCAAGGUAAAGAGGGCUUGUUAUGAACAUCUGAUUUGUGACACUGAAACUUUGAACACAUUCACAGAAACAGGAUGACUCCAGAAUCAGC